rnacentral:rRNA from 1 species
AUGUAAUGUGCCAGCGCCGCGGUAAUACGUAUGGUGCAAGCGUUAUCCGGAUUUACUGGGUGUAAAGGGUGCGUAGGUGGUGAGACAAGUCUGAAGUGAAAAUCCGGGGCUUAACCCCGGAACUGCUUUGGAAACUGCCUGACUAGAGUACAGGAGAGGUAAGUGGAAUUCCUAGUGUAGCGGUGAAAUGCGUAGAUAUUAGGAGGAACACCAGUGGCGAAGGCGACUUACUGGACUGCUACUGACACUGAGGCACGAAAGCGUGGGGAGCAAACAGG